GAUGAACGCUGGCGGCGUGCCUAAUACAUGCAAGUCGAGCGAAUGGAUUAAGAGCUUGCUCUUAUGCGGUUAGCGGCGGACGGGUGAGUAACACGUGGGUAACCUGCCCAUAAGACUGGGAUAACUCCGGGAAACCGGGGCUAAUACCGGAUAACAUUUUGAACCGAAUGGUUCGAACUUGAAAGGCGGCUUCGGCUGUCACUUAUGGAUGGACCCGCGUCCCAUUAGCUAGUUGGUGGGGUAAGGGCUCACCAAGGCAACGAUGCGUAUCCGGCCUGAGAGGGUGAUCGGCCACCAUGCGACUGAGACCCGGCCCAGCCUCCUACGGGAGGCAGCAGGAGGGAAUCUUCAGCAAUGGACGAAAGUCGGACGGAGCAACGCCGCGUGAGUGAUGAAGGCUUUCGGGUCGUAAAACUCUGUUGUUAGGGAACAACAAGUGCUAGUUGAAUAAGCUGGCACCUUGACGGUACCUAACCAGAAAGCCACGGCUAACUACGUGCCAGCCGCCGCCGUAA
rnacentral:rRNA from 1 species